rnacentral:rRNA from 1 species
GAUGAACGCUGGCGGCGUGCCUAACACAUGCAAGUCGAACGAGACUGAUUAGAUUGAGAUUUCGGUUGAUUUCUAUGAAAGUCGAGUGGCGGACGGGUGAGUAACACGUGGGUAACCUGCCUUACAGAGGGGGAUAACAGUUUGAAAAGACUGCUAAUACCGCAUAAGCACACAGUACCGCAUGGUACGGGGUGAAAAGAUUUAUCGCUGUAAGAUGGACCCGCGUCUGAUUAGCUAGUUGGCAGGGUAACGGCCUACCAAGGCGACGAUCAGUAGCCGACCUGAGAGGGUGAUCGGCCACAUUGGGACUGAGACACGGCCCAAACUCCUACGGGAGGCAGCAGUGGGGGAUAUUGCGCAAUGGGGGCAACCCUGACGCAGCAACGCCGCGUGAAGGAUGAAGGUUUUCGGAUUGUAAACUUCUUUUAUUAAGGGCGAAAAAAUGACGGUACUUAAUGAAUAAGCUCCGGCUAACUACGUG